rnacentral:rRNA from 1 species
GAUGAACGCUGGCGGCGUGCCUAAUACAUGCCAGUCAAGCGAACGGACGAGAAGCUUGCUUCUCUGAUGUUAGCGGCGGACGGGUGAGUAACACGUGGAUAACCUACCUAUAAGACUGGGAUAACUUCGGGAAACCGGAGCUAAUACCGGAUAAUAUUUUGAACCGCAUGGUUCAAAAGUGAAAGACGGUCUUGCUGUCACUUAUAGAUGGAUCCGCGCUGCAUUAGCUAGUUGGUAAGGUAACGGCUUACCAAGGCAACGAUGCAUAGCCGACCUGAGAGGGUGAUCGGACACACUGGAACUGAGACACGGUCCAGACUCCUACGGGAGGCAGCAGUAGGGAAUCUUCCGCAAUGGGCGAAAGCCUGACGGAGCAACGCCGCGUGAGUGAUGAAGGUCUUCGGAUCGUAAAACUCUGUUAUUAGGGAAGAACAUAUGUGUAAGUAACUGUGCACAUCUUGACGGUACCUAAUCAGAAAGCCACGGCUAACUACGUG